AUGCAAUGCCAUUAGAUCUUAAAUCAUAAUUUUAGAUCUAAUCAAUUCUACACUUAAUUUUUAAUGAAGUUUCAGUAUCAACAUGAGUUUAGGUUCAGAUUUAAAAUAAUUUUAAUUUUUAUUUUAUAAAUAAUUUAUAACAAAUUUUAUGUAAAAAAUUUUUAUUCUGAAAUUGGAUCGACUCAAUCAACAUCAAGCUAGCUAUACAAGGGGGACU
rnacentral:lncRNA from 1 species